AUUUAAAUAGCUUAAGUUUAGAGUAUAAUAUUGAAGAUAUUAGGGUGAUUAAUUAAUCUUUAAAUA
rnacentral:tRNA from 4 species